rnacentral:rRNA from 1 species
CGGCAACAGCUCAAAUUUGAAAUCUGGCCCCCCGGCCCGAGUUGUAAUUUGGAGAGGAUGCUUUUGGCGCGGCGCCGUCCGAGUUCCUUGGAACAGGACGCCACAGAGGGUGAGAGCCCCGUACGGACGGACGCCUAGCCUCUACAAAGCUCCUUCGAC